CACGUAGGUGGCGAGCGUUGUCCGGAAUUACUGGGCGUAAGGCGUGCGCAGGCGGCUUUGCAAGACAGAGGUGAAAUCCCCGGGCUCAACCUGGGAACUGCCUUUGUGACUGCAAGGCUAGAGUACGGCAGAGGGGGAUGGAAUUCCGCGUGUAGCAGUGAAAUGCGUAGAUAUGCGGAGGAACACCGACGGCGAAGGCAAUCCCCUGGGCCUGUACUGACGCUCAUGCACGAAAGCGUGGGGAGCAAACAGGAUUAGA
rnacentral:rRNA from 1 species